AUUGAACGCUGGCGGCAUGCCUUACACAUGCAAGUCGAACGGUAACAGGUCUUCGGAUGCUGACGAGUGGCGAACGGGUGAGUAAUACAUCGGAACGUGCCUAGUAGUGGGGGAUAACUACUCGAAAGAGUGGCUAAUACCGCAUGAGAUCUACGGAUGAAAGCAGGGGAUCGCAAGACCUUGUGCUACUAGAGCGGCCGAUGGCAGAUUAGGUAGUUGGUGGGAUAAAAGCUUACCAAGCCGACGAUCUGUAGCUGGUCUGAGAGGACGAUCAGCCACACUAGGACUGAGACACGGCCCAGACUCCUACGGGAGGCAGCGGUGGGGAAUUUUGGACAAUGGGCGCAAGCCUGAUCCAGCAAUGCCGCGUGCAGGAUGAAGGCCUUCGGGUUGUAAACUGCUUUUGUACGGAACGAAAAGCCCUGGGUUAAUACCCUGGGGUCAUGACGGUACCGUAAGAAUAAGCACCGGCUAACUACGUGCCAGCCGCCGCCGUAA
rnacentral:rRNA from 1 species